GAUGAACGCUGGCGGCGUGCCUAAUACAUGCAAGUCGAGCGAACAGACGAGGAGCUUGCUCCUCUGACGUUAGCGGCGGACGGGUGAGUAACACGUGGAUAACCUACCUAUAAGACUGGGAUAACUUCGGGAAACCGGAGCUAAUACCGGAUAAUAUAUUGAACCGCAUGGUUCAAUAGUGAAAUACGGUUUUGCUGUCACUUAUAGAUGGAUCCGCGCCGCAUUAGCUAGUUGGUAAGGUAACGGCUUACCAAGGCAACGAUGCGUAGCCGACCUGAGAGGGUGAUCGGCCACACUGGAACUGAGACACGGUCCAGACGCCUACGGGAGGCAGCAGUAGGGAAUCGUCCGCAAUGGGCGAGAGCCUGACGGAGCAACGCCGCGUGAGUGAUGAAGGUCUUCGGAUCGGAAAACUCUGUUAUUAGGGAAGAACAAAUGUGUAAGUAACUAUGCACGUCUUGACGGUACCUAAUCAGAAAGCCACGGCUAACUACGUG
rnacentral:rRNA from 1 species